rnacentral:rRNA from 1 species
AGAAGAAGCACCGGCUAACUACCGUGCCAGCAGCCGCGGUAAUACGGAGGGUGCGAGCGUUAAUCGGAAUUACUGGGCGUAAAGCGCAUGCAGGCGGCCUGUUAAGUCAGAUGUGAAAGCCCGGGGCUUAACCUCGGAAUUGCAUUUGAAACUGGCAGGCUAGAGUCUUGUAGAGGGGGGUAGGAAUUUCAGGUGUAGCGGUGAAAUAGCGUAGAGAUCUGAAGGAAUACCAGUGGCGAAGGCGGCCCCCUCGGACAAAGACUGACGCUCAGAUGCGAAAGCGUGGGGAGCAAACAGGAUUAGAUACCCUGGUAG